rnacentral:misc_RNA from 1 species
GAAAUGCGAUAAGUAGUGUGAAUUGCAGAAUUCAGUGAAUCAUCGAAUCUUUGAACGCACAUUGCGCCCCUUGGUAUUCCAUGGGGCAUGCCUGUUCGAGCGUCAUUUGUACCCUCAAGCUCUGCUUGGUGUUGGGUGUUUGUCCCGUCUCCGCGCGUGGACUCGCCCCAAAGUGAUUGGCAGCCGGCGUACUGGUCCCGGAUCGCAGCACAUGUCGCGCAAACGAGUGCCUUGGUACGGCGGCGUCCAUAAGCCCCUCUCUCACGCUCUUGACCUCGGAUCAGGUAGGGAUACCCGCUGAACUUAAGC